UAGGGAAUCUUCCGCAAUGGGCGAAAGCCUGACGGAGCAACGCCGCGUGAGUGAUGAAGGUCUUCGGAUCGUAAAACUCUGUUAUUAGGGAAGAACAAAUGUGUAAGUAACUAUGCACGUCUUGACGGUACCUAAUCAGAAAGCCACGGCUAACUACGUGCCAGCAGCCGCGGUAAUACGUAGGUGGCAAGCGUAAUCCGGAAUUAUUGGGCGUAAAGUGCGCGUAGGCGGUUUUUUAAGUCUGAUGUGAAAGCCCACGGCUCAACCGUGGAGGGUCAUUGGAAACUGGAAAACUUGAGUGCAGAAGAGGAAAGUGGAAUUCCAUGUGUAGCGGUGAAAUGCGCAGAGAUAUGGAGGAACACCAGUGGCGAAGGCGACUUUCUGGUCUGUAACUGACGCUGAUGUGCGAAAGCGUGGGGAUCAAACAGG
rnacentral:rRNA from 1 species